rnacentral:tRNA from 2 species
UUAAUAUUAAUUAAAUAAGCAAAGGUGGCGGAGUGGUCUAACGCGGUAGACUUAAGAUCUACUAUCUUUUGAUGUCGUGGGUUCGAAUCCCACCCUUUGCAUUCACACU